rnacentral:rRNA from 1 species
GACGAACGCUGGCGGCGUGCUUAACACAUGCAAGUCGAACGAUGAAGAAAAGAAUUGAAGCUUCGGCAGAAAUUCAUUUCGGAUUAGUGGCAGACGGGUGAGUAACGCGUGAGCAACCUACCUCUUACAAAGGGAUAGCCUCGGGAAACCGGGAUUAAUACCAUAUAACAUUGCGACGAAGCAUUUCGAUGCAAUCAAAGCUACGGCGGUAAGAGAUGGGCUCGCGUCCCAUUAACCAGAUGGUGAGGUAACGGCUCACCAUAGUAACGAUGGGUAACCGGCCUGAGAGGGUGAACGGUCACACUGGAACUGAGACACGGUCCAGACUCCUACGGGAGGCAGCAGUGGGGAAUAUUGCACAAUGGAGGGAACUCUGAUGCAGCGACGCCGCGUGAGUGAUGAAGGAAUUCGUGACGUAAAACACUGUUCUAUGGGAAGAAAAGGACUGUACCAUAGGAGAAAGCUCCGGCUAAAUACGUG